AUUGAACGCCGGCGGCAUGCCUUACACAUGCAAGUCGAACGGUAACGGGUCCUUCGGGAUGCCGACGAGUGGCGAACGGGUGAGUAAUAUAUCGGAACGUACCCAGUAGUGGGGGAUAACUGCUCGAAAGAGCAGCUAAUACCGCAUACGACCUGAGGGAGAAAGGGGGGGAUCGCAAGACCUCUCGCUCUUGGAGCGGCCGAUAUCAGAUUAGCUAGUUGGUGGGGUAAAGGCCUAGCAAGGCAACGAUCUGUAGUUGGUCUGAGAGGACGACCAGCCACACUGGGACUGAGACACGGCCCAGACUCCUACGGGAGGCAGCAGUGGGGAAUUUUGGACAAUGGGCGCAAGCCUGAUCCAGCAAUGCCGCGUGCAGGAAGAAGGCCUUCGGGUUGUAAACUGCUUUUGUCAGGGAAGAAAUCUUCUGGGCUAAUACCCCGGGAGGAUGACGGUACCUGAAGAAUAAGCACCGGCUAACUACGUGCCAGCCGCCGCAGUAA
rnacentral:rRNA from 1 species